rnacentral:sRNA from 1 species
CAUGCCUGGGUUGCCUCUGACUAACUUAUAUAGUUACUCAACAGAUGUAUGUCCAAAAAUGUUCCUAAAUGCCUGUUUGCCUCGACCGAUAUAUAUUGCCACCGAAAGGUUGAGGCGCUCGCCUUUGACGGAUCAUUUCUGUUAGAUUAGCUGUCCAACAGUGCAAUUUCAAGUGCAGCUCGGGGAUUUGAUCCCCUAUCAUUCUAGAGUCGCCAGAAUUUACCGAUGCUCAAAAUCGAAUAUCGGGAAUCUUGAAGUUCCAUCAUCCAUCAUCGUCAUCAUCAUGCUCAAAACGAAUGUCCUUUCCAGUUGUUGUCCGGU